GAUGCCAGCUAGCGAUCCGCCAAAGUUCCUCCGAUGACUUGGUGGGCAGCUUCCGGGAAACCAAAGCAUUUGGGUUCCGGGGGAAGUAUGGUUGCAAAGCUGAAACUUAAAGGAAUUGACGGAAGGGCACCACCAGGAGUGGAGCCUGCGGUUAAAUUUGACUCAACACGGGAAACCUCACCAGGCCCGGACACCGGAAGGAUUGACAGAUUGAGAGCUCUUUCUUGAUUCGGUGGGUGGUGGUGCAUGGCCGUUCUUAGUUGGUGGAGCGAUUUGUCUGGUUAAUUCCGAUAACGAACGAGACUCUAGCCUACUAAAUAGACGUACUUUAUUACCGGCAUCUCAAGGCCCAUCGGCUGUAUUGUUACUGAAUGUUAUUUGUAUAUUUUGUUUCUUAUAUAUAUUUAUAAUAUGU
rnacentral:rRNA from 1 species